rnacentral:tRNA from 1 species
GGAGAGGUCGCAUAGUGGCCUAGUGCGUUCGCUUGGAAAGCGAAUAGACGGGUCAAACCGUCUCGAGGGUUCGAAUCCCUCCCUCUCCGCCA